rnacentral:rRNA from 1 species
UGCCAGCAGCCGUGGUAAUACGUAGGGGGCUAGCGUUGUCCGGAUUCAUUGGGCGUAAAGAGCGUGUAGGCGGUUCGAUAGGUCCGGUGUGAAAACUCGAGGCUCAACCUCGAGAGGUCGCCGGAAACCCUCGAACUAGAGUCCGGAAGAGGAGAGUGGAAUUCCUGGUGUAGCGGUGAAAUGCGCAGAUAUCAGGAAGAACACCCAUGGCGAAGGCAGCUCUCUGGGACGGUACUGACGCUGAGACGCGAAAGCGUGGGGAGCGAACAGGAUUAGAUA